rnacentral:tRNA from 1 species
AGAUAUUGAAGUAAUAAUUACAUUUAGUUUCGACCUAAAAUUAAGGCCAAUUAAGCCUCUUAUCUA